rnacentral:rRNA from 1 species
AUUGAACGCUGGCGGCAGGCCUAACACAUGCAAGUCGAACGGUAGCAGAACUAGCUUGCUAGUUGCUGACGAGUGGCGAACGGGUGAGUAACGCGUGGGAAUCUACCUGGUAGUGGGGGAUAACAGUCGGAAACGACUGCUAAUACCGCAUACGUCCUAAGGGAGAAAGCGGGGGAUCUUCGGACCUCGUGCUAUCAGAUGAGCCCGCGUCGGAUUAGCUAGUUGGGGGGGUAAGGGCCUACCAAGGCGACGAUCCGUAGCUGGUCUGAGGGGAGGAGCAGCCACAAUGGAACUGAGACACGGGCCAGACUCCGACGGGAGGCAGCAGUGGGGAAUAUUGGACAAUGGGCGCAAGCCUGAUCCAGCCAUGCCGCGUGUGUGAAGAAGGCCCUAGGGUUGUAAAGCACUUUCAGCAGGGAGGAAAGGAUGUACGUUAAUACCGUGCAUCUGUGACGUUACCUGCAGAAGAAGCACCGGCUAACUCCGUGCCAGCCGCCGCCGUAA